rnacentral:rRNA from 1 species
GCCAGCAGCUAGCUCUCUGCCACUCUCACAUGGUCGCCCACUGAAGCGAAGCAGGGCUGCGCCUUGUCAGUACCUGGAAGGAAGACCACAUGAGAAAGCAAAGUUGCUGCUGGAA